CGGAGGAUCCAAGCGUUAUCCGGAAUCAUUGGGUUUAAAGGGUCCGUAGGCGGGUUUAUAAGUCAGUGGUGAAAGCCCAUCGCUCAACGAUGGAACGGCCAUUGAUACUGUAGAUCUUGAAUUAUUAGGAAGUAACUAGAAUAUGUAGUGUGGCGGUGAAAUGCUUAGAGAUUACAUGGAAUACCAAUUGCGAAGGCAGGUUACUACUAAUGGAUUGACGCUGAUGGACGAAAGCGUGGGUAGCGAACAGGAUUAGAUACCCUGGUAGUCCACGCCGUAAACGAUGGAUACUAGCUGUUCGGAGCAAUCUGAGUGGCUAAGCGAAAGUGAUAAGUAUCCCACCUGGGGAGUACGUUCGCAAGAAUG
rnacentral:rRNA from 1 species